rnacentral:lncRNA from 1 species
AAUCAAUUUUAGUUAGCAGAAAAAGUGAAGUUCUCCAAGAAGAUUAAAACCAUACUUCUACCAGAGCAAGAUACUAAAGUGCCAGUAGGAACAGCGCUUGUAGUUGCAGGUUGGGGAUAUAUUGGGCCAAAUGGACCACGGUCAGAUGUUUUGAAGGAAGCCACAGUUUCUGUUACAGGGUCAGACAGUGAACGCCUAAUAUAUACAUGGAA